AUUGAACGCUGGCGGCAGGCCUAACACAUGCAAGUCGAACGAGUGGCGGACGGGUGAGUAAUGCUUGGGAAUCUCGCUUAUGGAGGGGGAUAACUACGGGAACCUGUAGCUAAUACCGCGUACCAUAGGCUGAGCCCAAGUGGGAUUAGGUAGUUGGUGAGGUAAAGGCUCACCAAGCCGACGAUCUCUAGCUGGUCUGAGAGGCGGACCGGCCACACUGGGACUGAGACACGGCCCAGACUCCUACGGGAGGCAGCAGUGGGGAAUAUUGCGCAAUGGGGGAAACCUGACGCAGCAAUGCCGCGUGAGUGAAGAAGGCCUUCGGGUUGUAAAGUUCUUUCGGUAGCGAAGCGGUAACUACAGAAAAAGCACCGGCUAACUCCGUGCCAGCAGCCGCGGUAAUAC
rnacentral:rRNA from 1 species